rnacentral:rRNA from 1 species
GAUGAACGCUGGCGGCGUGCCUAAUACAUGCAAGUCGAGCGAACAGACGAUGAGCUUGCUCCUCUGACGUUAGCGGCGGACGGGUGAGUAACACGUGGAUAACCUACCUAUAAGACUGGUAUAACUUCGGGAAACCGGAGCUAAUACCGGAUAAUAUAUUGAACCACAUGGUUCAAUAGUGAAAGACGGCUUUGCUGUCACUUAUAGAUGCAUCUGCGCCGCAUUAGCUAGUUGGUAAGGUAACGGCUUACCAAGGCAACGAUGCGUGGCCGACCUGAGAGGCUGAUCGGCCGCACUGGAACUGAGACACGGUCCAGGCUCCUACGGGAGGGAGCAGUAGGGAAUCUGCCGCAAUGGGCGAAAACCUGACGGAGCAAGGCCGCGUGAGUGAUGACGGUCUUCGGAUCGUAAAACUCUGUUAUUAGGGAAGAACAAAUGUGUAAGUAAAUAUGCACGUCUUGACGGUACCUAAUAAGAAAGCCACGGCUAACUACGUG